UGUUUGUUGUUUCACCCAAAUCAUGGCCGCCUACAGUUCAUUGGCGUAACGUUAAAGCGGCAAUCGUAGGUACAUUAGUGUAAAGUAAAUACAAUAUACAAACGUACCUACUGCAAAUAUGAUUUCAACAAGUAGUACUGUUCUGUGACAACAUGCAAAAUUUAUUGACGUUUCACGAAAUGAUGAAUGAAUAUGACACAAAUUCAAUAAGUAAUGCGAGAAGAACCAACUCUUACAGAAAGUUUCAGCUCAGCAAUAUUGCACAUUGCAACCUCCGACACUCCAUUUUCGAGAUAUUCACGUUGACAAUAGAUAUGCCUCGUCCAGAUGUUCCACACGCCUGUGAUGAGAACUCUCCUUCCGACACUUCGUUUUUGGAGGUAUUCUUAUCGACCUCACCUGAGUUCACACUAUUAAUUUAGCCUUUGUAAGUGCUCUCCUCCGACACAUUUUUCUAAAGUUUUCUAAAUAAUGACACGUUCCACUUACCCUACCCUCCACCGAUACUCUGUUUUUGAGACAGGAGGAAUUAUAAGCGAUGGAAGAGGAGAGAUGUGGUGGUAGAAAAAUAAAAACCUGGUGUGCUGUGACCGGCAAUCUUUCCUGGCGAGAGUCUAACCUGGGGCGAGAGUAAUAAAUAUAUGAUCAAGGGACCUAAUUAUCAUCUUUUCAAUGAAGUAAAGUAAAUCAGUGCUGGUGUAAUUACAUGUCAAAAUAAACUGCCAAAAAUGUACACAUUUGUUUGCAAUAUAUAUACAAUACAGAAACUAUUGCCCUUUAAAAGUAAUUAAUUUUGUCAAUUUACUGCGAAUCGGA